rnacentral:rRNA from 1 species
UACGUAGGGGGCAAGCGUUGUCCGGAUUUAUUGGGCGUAAAGAGCGUGUAGGCGGUUAUGCAGGUCCGCUGUGAAAACUGGAGGCUUAACCUCCAGACGUCGGUGGAAACCAUCUAGCUAGAGUCCGGAAGAGGAGAGUGGAAUUCCUGGUGUAGCGGUGAAAUGCGCAGAUAUCAGGAAGAACACCCGUGGCUAAGGCGGCUCUCUAGUACGGUACUGACGCUGAGACGCGAAAGCGUGGGGAGCGAACAGG